AUUGAACGCUGGCGGCAUGCUUUACACAUGCAAGUCGAACGGUAACAGGCCGCAAGGUGCUGGCGAGUGGCGAACGGGUGAGUAAUGCAUCGGAACGUGCCCAAUCGUGGGGGAUAACGCAGCGAAAGCUGUGCUAAUACCGCAUACGAACUGUGGAUGCAAGCGGGGGACUCGCAAGGGCCUCGCGCGAUUGGAGAGGCCGAUGUCAGAUUAGGUAGUUGGUGAGGUAAAGGCUCACCAAGCCAACGAUCUGUAGCUGGUCUGAGAGGACGACCAGCCACACUGGGACUGAGACACGGCCCAGACUCCUACGGGAGGCAGCAGUGGGGAAUUUUGGACAAUGGGGGCAACCCUGAUCCAGCAAUGCCGCGUGCAGGAAGAAGGCCUUCGGGUUGUAAACUGCUUUUGUACGGAACGAAACGGUCUGGGUUAAUACCCUGGGCUAAUGACGGUACCGUAAGAAUAAGCACCGGCUAACUACGUGCCAGCCGCCGCCGUAA
rnacentral:rRNA from 1 species